CAGCAAUACUAAACUGAUACACAAAGGAUCCCCGUACUUCAUCAAAAUAUCAAUGUUGUCCAUGACACACAAAGAACCCAGCUGUAGUUUAAUUCAGCAUCACAGUCCCAACAUGUUUUAAAACAUGUUCCAGCAUUCAAUUCACUCGUACAUCCAACACUAUUUGAUUGUCUGCUGGGUGCCAGUCAUGGGGCUAAGCUCUGCAGGUACAAGGCUGAGUAGGACUCUGACCACAUUCUCAGUAUAAGAGGGAAAUAAACGUGAUGGAAAUAAAUGUUAUGGAAUGAAAUAAUGGAUGAUCAUUAAGACACCCCAAAUUUUGGCACUGAAAAUGAUGAUUCCAUCUAUGUUAAUAAAGCUUUUGGUCCCAGGAUUAUUCAACCUAGCUCAUAAAAGAAAACAAUAUUGCAUUUCUAAGUAUUGGCUCCUAGAAUUGGCAAGUUUAGUCAAGAAAAGCUGGAAUGCCGUUAAAACAACACCCUGUCAUCUUUCAAUCAGUCCUUAGCUGAAGUUAAAAUCCCACUCAUUCUGCAUGAUCCAGCCUCUGUAGCAUAGAGUGAGUAGCCCCUUAACAAGAACCAAAAUGGAGGGUACGGAUGAGGCUCAGAUCGUCACCACCUGGAGAAUAGAGACAGUGACUGAGUCACCAGGAAAUCUGUCCCCUGCUCAUCCCAGAAUCCCCGAGCUUUGACUUUUUAAGAGAACAUGUGACAGAUAAUGCCAUCUGAGAAGCUUAGGCAACUCAGUCAUCAAUGUGUCCUCGAGAAGAGCAUAUCCCCAAAUUGGAAAAUAAUCCUUCAGGGCAUCUGAACAUAACCACAUUUGGCUUACUUUGUGAAGCAGUUGUCUGAAUAGAAUAAGACUGGCUUGGAACGAGAUUCACAGAGCAACCAAAUAAAGAUGAUUGAGUGAAUGGCUAAAGAAAUAAAUAUGUUCGAAUCUGUACCCA
ensembl:lncRNA LINC01208 long intergenic non-protein coding RNA 1208